UACGUAGGGUGCGAGCGUUGUCCGGAAUUACUGGGCGUAAAGAGCUCGUAGGCGGUUUGUCGCGUCGUCUGUGAAAACCAGUAGCUCAACUGCUGGCUUGCAGGCGAUACGGGCAGACUUGAGUACUGCAGGGGAGACUGGAAUUCCUGGUGUAGCGGUGAAAUGCGCAGAUAUCAGGAGGAACACCGGUGGCGAAGGCGGGUCUCUGGGCAGUAACUGACGCUGAGGAGCGAAAGCGUGGGUAGCGAACAGG
rnacentral:rRNA from 1 species